AUGUGUAUGUGUGUUAAAUAUUUUGUAACAUCUAAUUUAAGAAGAAGUUCAACCAUAAAAAAAACAAAAGAAGUCCGACUAAGCCAAGAGCGGAAAUGGUCAGAGUUCAGUCCCCACCCACUAAAGCCUCAGGCCAGAUCUGGAAUAGAGAUCUCAAGAGCACAGGCCUUUGAAGAGGCAGCUCUGAUGGCUCGUAGGGUGCUGAGUGCCAUCCUGAUGUUUCAGUGCCCAGAAAGGUCAGCACAUCUCUUGGGUGAAUUUCAGAGGGGACUGAUAAACAUCUUGGGAGACUGGAAGAAAAGAUCAAAGGGAUCAGAGGAUGGCCAGUUUUAGGUAUGCUGGCACUGAAGAAUGAGAGAAGAACUUUCCAGUUACGAGCACCCAAGGACCAGAAGAGGAAGGAACACAUUUCAAAUGGAAUCUACCCAGUUGGAGACCAAAGAAGACUGUCCAAAUCUCUGUACUCAUCUUGGCUGUGGGGUCCUGGUAAGAUCUUUUUCCUAAACUAGCUGUGAGAAGCAGCUUACAGUUCAGAUCUCUUCAUCUUUAUCUCAGUUUUAAACUUCCCUGCUCAAAGAAAACUCCAACACUUUGCUCUGCAAGCACCUGCCUGGGUUGGCAUUCCAUGAGCAGGUGCCACCUAGUUUAGCCUGACUGGGGACAGCAGGGCAGCCCCAACAGAUGGAAGAGCUGGCAGAGACCCUGCCUCGUUCAUGUCUGGCUGACCAUGGGGGCAAGAGCUGACACAAAGGCAAGUUUGUCCUUCUGCUAAGGCCAGUGUCCAAAUCCUACAACUCUCCCAGAGUGUCCUUCUACAGAGAGACUGGAGAGGAUGCCCUAGGCUUGGCUCCUAUUGAUUCGGGGUGCUGUGUGUCUUCCUUGUGAGGUCAACUGAGUCCAGUGAGCAGCUCCGUCUGACUACUGACUUCCUCUCUCUGCUCCCCUAAUCUGGGAUCCCUUGGGCAACCUCGCUUCCCCCCAAGAUGGGCGAGUAUACUUGAGGCAUCCCUGAGGGGUGGGGUUUGGGCCCCCUGCCCACUAAACAUCUACACUCUUUUUACUGAUGGGAAUCCAGGAGGAGGGAUGGGGACCUGAAAAGGCAAAGAACCAACGGCAAGCAUGCCUCUGGGGUCUCCACUGGAAAGAAGUCAAACUUAGAAGCUAGAUGGAACGGUUGGGGCAGCAGGCCUAAGAGGCAACGCUGUGUCUUCAUUGUAGAGGACUGGCUCAUGUGUGCCUGAGAUUAUUUAGACUUUCUCUUUUUAACUGGGAUUGACUCUUGUGAUUGGUGAUGCAGGGAAAGAUCAAGAACUCUGCCAUUUCAGUCCUGGGUGCCUAUGGGGCCAGGGACAAGACAUGGCAGUCAGGAAGGCCUCUCUGGCCAGGCCCCUGCCAGAACCACUUGACCUUAUGACUGAUGAUGGCCUCUUCAGAAGGCUUCUUCAAUUCCUGGACAAUGCUCAAGUCUUGAGUGCUCCUACCUUCAAAGUCUAGAAUAGGCAGUAGCCUCUAAAAUGUUCUCUAGGCACAGAGACAAACCUAGACAAUGUAUUAAAAAGCCGAGAUACCACUUUUCAGACAAAGGUCCGUACUGUCAAAGCUAUGGUCUUUCCAGUAGUCAUGAACAGAUGUGAGAGUUGAACCAUGAAGAAGGCUGAGAACCGAAGAACUGAUGCUUUUGAACUGUGGUACUGGAGAAGACUCUUGAGAGUUACUUGGACUGCAUAGAGAUCAAACUAGUCAAUCCUAAAGGAAAUCAACCUGAAUAUUCAUUGGAAGGACUGAUGCUGAAGCUGAAGCUCCAGUACUUUGGCCACCUGAGUCGAAGAACCAACUCAUUGGAAAAGAUUCUGUUGCUUUUCAGACAGAGUCAGAUUGAAGGCAAAAGGAGAAGGGGACGGCAGAGGAAGAGAUGGUUAGAUAGCAUCACUGACUCAAUGGAUAUGCAUUUGAGCAAACUGGGAGAUAAUGGAGGACAGAGGAGUGUGGCCUGCUGCAAUCCAUGGGGCCUGAAAGGGUCAAACACGGCUUAGUGACUAAACAACAGCAACUAGGCACAGAGGGCGUGACUACUCCUAUGCCCUGCAGCCUGUGGAGCGCCUGACCCUAGGGGUUGCCAUCUGCACUGUGGUCUACAUGACUGGCACCUCCCAGUGCGGUGGGAGGCACCAUUUGCUCAGCUGCACACCGUGAUCCUGCCAGCCCCCUCCAGUGGCGCUCCCAGUCCAGAAAAGGAGGCAUGUUGAGUCCCAGUCUCCUUCAUUCUCUCCUCACCCUUCUGCUAAGUGCACUGUGGACUCCCUCCCUACAGGGUUCCCUUCCCCAGUCUCCCUUCCUUCCCCUAUUCUGACCAGCCUUUAGCACAAGGACCAGGUCAUUGCACAGGCCGGGUGGAGGGAAAACCUGAGCCCACCACACAUCCGUGACCCCUGCCAGGCUGACAUCACAGGAAUCUUCUUCUCAGCCCUCAGGGUGACUUCAAGGCCAAGAGAGGGUCAGCUGUGCGGUUUCCCAGGUGCUUCUGCCAUUCAGCCCUCCCCCUGGGACACUCUGUGGGUCCUGCUCUAUGAAGGACUGAGGGGUCAGAGGGUGGGAUUGAGAAACAGCUUCCGCACCAUCCCUGCCUUCUGGUGACCAGACCCUCUGUGCCCCUUUCUGCCCACUCCUGGGCCUUUCUCUCCUGCCCCUGCUUGCCUUCGGUCCCACAGAGAGGGAACUAACAGCCCUGCGUCCCUUUCCCCUUCCUGGUGCCAAGGAAUCUUCUUCCUCCCCAUGCUCUGAGUCAGAGCCCAGUCACCUUCGAAUAGCAGAAGAGUGAGUCAGAGAGAGAUGAGGGUCUUAGUUGGGUAGAUAGUGGUGUCCAGGGUACCCUGGGGUUGUAGGCUACACAAAGCUGAGAUAAGGCUUACCUUGCAAUAAUAUGGUCACAGUUAGUGGGAAAGGGAUAUGUGUGUGUGUAUACAUACAUACAUACAUACAUAUAUAUAUUUGUUGUUUUUCAGUCACUCAGUCGUGUCUGACUCUGCGACUCCCAUGGACUUCAGCACACCAGGCUUCCCUGUCCUUCACGAUCUCCCGGAAUUUGCUCAAACUCAUCUCCAUUGAAUCAGUGAUGCUAUCCAACCAUCUCAUCCUGUGUCAUCCCCUUCUCCUCCUGCCUUCAAUCUUUGCCAUCAUCAGAGUCUUUCCCAAUGAAUCAGCUCUUCACAUCCAGUGGCCCAAGUAUUAGCACAACAUCCAUCAUCAAGUAGGCACUGGAUAAAGAGUGCCGCUCUUUGUCUCAUCAUAAUCUUGUCUUCGGGCUUCCUGGUGGUCCAGUGUUUAAGAAUCUGCCUGCCAACGCAGGGGACACGAUUCAGUCCCUGGUUGGGGAAGAUCCCACAUGCUGCGGGGCAGCUAAGCCCAGGAACACAACUACUGAAGCCCUCGCGUGCCUGUGUUCCGCAACUAGAGAAGUGGCCACAGUGAGAAGCCUAUGCACCUCAACUAGAGAAUAGCCCCUGCUCUCCACAGCUAGAGAAAAGCCCGUUCGCAACAACAAAGACCCAGUGCAACCAGAAAUAUAUUAAAAAAUAAAUAAAAUUUUUUUAAAUGGGUUGUUUUAAGG
ensembl:lncRNA